UACGUAGGGUGCAAGCGUUAAUCGGAAUUACUGGGCGUAAAGCGUGCGCAGGCGGUUGUGCAAGACAGAUGUGAAAUCCCCGGGCUCAACCUGGGGACUGCAUUUGUGACUGCACGGCUAGAGUGUGUCAGAGGGGGGUAGAAUUCCACGUGUAGCAGUGAAAUGCGUAGAUAUGUGGAGGAAUACCGAUGGCGAAGGCAGCCCCCUGGGAUAACACUGACGCUCAUGCACGAAAGCGUGGGGAGCAAACAGG
rnacentral:rRNA from 1 species